ACGAACGCUGGCGGCGUGCUUAACACAUGCAAGUCGAACGGUGAAGCGCCUUCCUUUUUGGUGGGUGUGGAUGAGUGGCGAACGGGUGAGUAACACGUGAGUAACCUGCCCCCUUCUUCUGGAUAACCGCAUGAAAGUGUGGCUAAUACGGGAUAUUCUGGGUCUGUCGCAUGAUGGGUCUGGGAAAGAUAUUGUUUCGGGGGGGGAUGGGCUCGCGGCCUAUCAGCUUGUUGGUGGGGUGAUGGCCUACCAAGGCGGUGACGGGUAGCCGGCCUGAGAGGGUGGAUGGUCACACUGGGACUGAGACACGGCCCAGACUCCUACGGGAGGCAGCAGUGGGGAAUAUUGCACAAUGGGCGCAAGCCUGAUGCAGCGACGCCGCGUGAGGGAUGGAGGCCUUCGGGUUGUGAACCUCUUUCGCCAGUGAAGCAGGCCUGCCUCGUUUGUGGGUGGGUUGACGGUAGCUGGAUAAGAAGCGCCGGCUAACUACGUG
rnacentral:rRNA from 1 species